rnacentral:rRNA from 1 species
UGGGGAAUUUUCCGCAAUGGGCGAAAGCCUGACGGAGCAAGACCGCGUGAGGGAGGAAGGCCUUUGGGUUGUAAACCUCUUUUCUCAGGGAAGAAGACAGUGACGGUACCUGAGGAAUCAGCCUCGGCUAACUCCGUGCCAGCAGCCGCGGUAAUACGGAGGAUGCAAGCGUUGUCCGGAAUUACUGGGUGUAAAGGGUGUGCAGGCGGACUGUCAAGUCAGUGGUGAAAGCCCGCAGCUCAACUGCGGAAGUGCCAUUGAAACUGGCAGUCUUGAGUCCCGGAGGGGUCAUCGGAAUUCGUGGUGUAGCGGUGAAAUGCGUAGAUAUCACGAGGAACACCAGAAGCGUAAGCGGAUGACCGGACGGUGACUGACGCUCAGGCACGAAAGCGUGGGGAGCAAACAGGAUUAGAUACCCGGGUAGUCC